rnacentral:rRNA from 1 species
UACGUAGGGCGCAAGCGUUAUCCGGAAUUAUUGGGCGUAAAGAGCUCGUAGGCGGUUUGUCGCGUCUGCCGUGAAAGUCCGGGGCUCAACUCCGGAUCUGCAGUGGGUACGGGCAGACUAGAGUGCGGUAGGGGAGACUGGAAUUCCUGGUGUAGCGGUGAAAUGCGCAGAUAUCAGGAGGAACACCGGUGGCGAAGGCGGGUCUCUGGGCCGUAACUGACGCUGAGGAGCGAAAGCAUGGGGAGCGAACAGG